rnacentral:snoRNA from 1 species
UUGUUGUGAUGAUUCCAAGUAUGGUUUCGCAUAUCAUCAUCAUAUUUAUUUUGAUGAGACUCCUUGGCUGUCUGAACAA